UACGGGGGGAGCAAGCGUUGUUCGGAUUUACUGGGCGUAAAGGGCGCGUAGGCGGCCACCGCAAGUCGACUGUGAAAUCUCCGGGCUUAACCCGGAAAGGUCAGCCGAUGCUGCGGGGCUAGAGUGCAGAAGGGGCAACUGGAAUUCUCGGUGUAGCGGUGAAAUGCGUAGAUAUCGAGAGGAACACCUGCGGCGAAGGCGGGUUGCUGGGCUGACACUGACGCUGAUGCGCGAAAGCUAGGGGAGCGAACAGG
rnacentral:rRNA from 1 species